UACGUAGGUGGCAAGCGUUGUCCGGAUUUACUGGGCGUAAAGAGCGCGCAGGCGGUCGGAUUAGUCGCGUGUGAAAGCCCCCGGCUCAACUGGGGAGGGUCACGCGAUACUGUUCGACUCGAAGGCAGGAGAGGGAAGUGGAAUUCCCGGUGUAGUGGUGAAAUGCGUAGAUAUCGGGAGGAACACCAGUGGCGAAGGCGACUUCCUGGCCUGUUCUUGACGCUGAGGCGCGAAAGCCAGGGGAGCGAACGGG
rnacentral:rRNA from 1 species